rnacentral:lncRNA from 1 species
GCUUACUCCUUAUCAGCCUUAGUCACUUUGGUCCGCGUGUUUUCUAUUUCGGCAUUUAUACGCGAGUUUAGGCCCCUAUGAAGAAGAAGAAACAAGAGACUCCAAUUGUACAAUACAAGUAGAGAAUAUCACUUCCCACCAACUCUACCAUCUCUCCAAUAAUAUGUGUGCUGUAAGAUCUAUAGAAAUUUUAUCAACAUUGCAUGAAUUACAUAUAAUUAAAGCACACGAUAGAGUAAAU